CUACGGGAGGCAGCAGUGGGGAUAUUGCACAAUGGGGGAACCCUGAUGCAGCACGCCGCGUGGAGGAUGACACUUUCGGUGCGUAAACUCCUUUUAUAUGGAAGAUAAUGACGGUACUAUAUGAAUAAGCGCCGGCUAACUCCGUGCCAGCAGCCGCGGUAA
rnacentral:rRNA from 1 species